rnacentral:rRNA from 1 species
AUUAUUUGAAAUGAAAUGUUAUUCGUUUAUAAAGAUAUCUAGUUUUUUUAGAAAUAAAUUUAAUUUAAAAGUUUUUAAUUUUAUUAAUUAAUUAUAUUAAUUAAUAAAUUUAUAAAUUUAAAUAUUUUAAGGGAUAAGCUUUAGAAUAAAUUUUUAUAAAUUAAUAAAUGAUAAUUAAAAUUAUAUGCAUAGAAUUAGUAAUUAUUAAAAAUUUUGUUAUAAAUUAUUUUAUAAAAUAUAUUAUUUAUUAUAAUUUUAAAUUUUUAUAAAAAUAUUUUUUUUAAUUUUAUUUAAAAAGUAAUAAUGAUAAAAUUAGUAUAUUUAUAUUAUGUAAGUAUAAUUUAUUUUGAUAAGUUUAUAUAAAGAACUCGGCAAAUAUUUUACUCGCCUGUUUAACAAAAACAUGUCUUUUUGUGUUAUUUUUAAAGUCUAACCUGCCCAAUGAAUAAAUUUUAAUGGCCGCAGUAUUUUGACUGUGCAAAGGUAGCAUAAUCAUUAGUCUUUUAAUUGAAGGCUUGAAUGAAUGGUUGGACGAAGUAUAAUCUGUUUCAUUUAAAUUUAUUAUAGAAUUUUAUAUUUUAGUAAAAAAGCUAAAAUAUUUUUAAAAGACGAGAAGACCCUAUAAAUCUUUAUAAUUUAUAUUAUUUUUAUUUUUUAUAUUUAUUUUAUUUAAAUAAUUUGAAUUAUUUUGUUGGGGUGAUAUUAAAAUUUAAUAAACUUUUAAUUUAAUUAUUUCAUUAAUUUAUGUUUUAUUGAUCCAUUAAUAAUGAUUAAAAGAAUAAGUUACUUUAGGGAUAACAGCGUAAUUUUUUUGGAGAGUUCUUAUUGAUAAAAAAGUUUGCGACCUCGAUGUUGGAUUAAGAUAUAAAUUUAGGUGUA